rnacentral:rRNA from 1 species
CAAUGGACGGUACAACGAGUCGCAAGCUCGCGAGAGUAAGCUAAUCUCUUAAAGCCGUUCUCAGUUCGGACUGUAGGCCGCAACUCGCCUACACGAAGUCGGAAUCGCUAGUAAUCGUGGAUCAGCAUGCCACGGUGAAUACGUUCCCGGGUCUUGUACACACCGCCCGUCACACCAUGAGAGUCGGGAACACCCGAAGUCCGUAGUCUAACCGCAAGGGGGGCGCGGCCGAAGGUGGGUCCGGUAAUUGGGGUGAAGUCGUAACAAGGUACC